UGGGGAAUUUUGGACAAUGGGCGAAAGCCUGAUCCAGCAAUGCCGCGUGUGUGAAGAAGGCCUUCGGGUUGUAAAGCACUUUUGUCCGGAAAGAAAUCCUUGGCUCUAAUACAGUCGGGGGAUGACGGUACCGGAAGAAUAAGCACCGGCUAACUACGUGCCAGCAGCCGCGGUAAUACGUAGGGUGCAAGCGUUAAUCGGAAUUACUGGGCGUAAAGCGUGCGCAGGCGGUUUGCUAAGACCGAUGUGAAAUCCCCGGGCUCAACCUGGGAACUGCAUUGGUGACUGGCAGGCUAGAGUAUGGCAGAGGGGGGUAGAAUUCCACGUGUAGCAGUGAAAUGCGUAGAGAUGUGGAGGAAUACCGAUGGCGAAGGCAGCCCCCUGGGCCAAUACUGACGCUCAUGCACGAAAGCGUGGGGAGCAAACAGGAUUAGAUACCCUGGUAGUCCACGCCCUAAAACGAUGUCAACUAGUUGUUGGGGAUUCACUUCCUUAGUAACGUAGCUAACGCGUGAAGUUGACCGCCUGGGGAGUACGGUCGCAAGAUUAAAACUCAAAUGAAUUGACGGGGUCAUAGCUGUUUCCU
rnacentral:rRNA from 1 species